UCUUAAUAAGAUAAAAAUAUUUCCGUUUAAUGAGAUAAAAAUAUUAACAAUUAAAAAUGAUUCAAAAAUGUAAGUUUUUUCUUCCUUUUCUCCCUGCACCAAUGUCACCCACAACCACACCCUUCUGGUAGUUUAUUCACUUCCUUGUCAUCCUCACCACCGGCACCGGUGACCGCAACGAACCAUAUCUGAGAUCUGAGAACACAGUGGAAUCAUACGAAUCCAUUUUUGAAGUAGUCACCUCGCCGAAGCGCCUCUCUCACAAAUGGCAUGAAACCCGUCGUCGCUUCCCCCUCCUUUAGAACACCUCCG
rnacentral:lncRNA from 1 species